GGAGUUUGAUCAUGGCUCAGAAUCGGACGCUGGCAGCGUGGUUUAGGCAUGCAAGUCGAACGGUCCCCCAUUGUUUCCAUCUUGUUUUCGUAAGAAGACGAGAAGGGGGGGGUAGUGGCGAAAGGGUGAGUAACACGUGGGUAAUCGUUCCCUCGGGACAGGGAUAACUCACUGAAAGGUGAGCUAAUACCUGAUGAGACACCUCGAGAGGCAUCUCUUGGGGGUGAAAAGAUGGCCUAUCCUUGGAAGCUAUCGCCUGAGAAUGACCCCGCGUCCCAUUAGCUAGUUGGUGGGGUAAAGGCCUACCAAGGCAAUGAUGGGUAGCCGGCCUGAGAGGGUGUACGGCCACACUGGGACUGAGAUACGGCCCAGACUCCUACGGGAGGCAGCA
rnacentral:rRNA from 1 species